rnacentral:lncRNA from 1 species
AUUGGAGUUCCUGCUGUGACACAACAGGAUGGGCAGUGUCUCUGCAGUGCCAGGACACAUGUUCAAUCCCUAGCCCAGCACAGUGGAUUAAAGGAUGUGGCAUUGCUAUAUCAGUGGCACAGGUCUCAACUGCAGCAUCUUGGAUCUAACCCAGACCUGAGAACUCCAUAUGCCUCUGUGCGGCCAAAACAAAAACCAGAAACAAUAUUGUAUUAAUUUGUGCAGUACAGCAAAGUGAUUCAGUUAUACAUAAAUAUGUAUAUAUUCAUUUUAUAUUCUUUCUCAUUGUGGAUUAACACAAAUUACUGAAUGUAGUUCCUUGUGCUGUACAGUAGGACCUUGUUUAUCUAUUCUGUAUCUAAUAGUUGCAGCUGCUAACUUGAGGCUCCCAGUCCAUCCCUCCCCUAACCCCCUGAUUGCUUUAUAAGUGCUUCUCAGACCCACCUCUUAAGAGUAUUGACAAUAAAAACAAAAAUAAACAAAUGGGACCUAAUCAAACUGAAAAGUUUCUGCACAGCAAAGUAUACCCUAAACAAAACAAAAAGACAACACACAGAAUGGGAGAAAAUCUUUGCAAAUGAACCCACUGACAAGGGAUUAAUUUCCAAAAUUUAUAAACGCCUCCUACAGCUCAAUACCAAAAAACAACCCCAUCAAAAAAUGGGCAGAAGAUCCAAACAGGCAGUUCUCCAGAGAAGACAGACAGAUGGCCAAAAAACACAUGAAAACAUGUUCAACAUCACUCAUCAUUAGAGAAAUGCAAAUCAAAACCACAAUGAGGGACCACCUUACACCAGCCAGAAUGGCCAUCAUCAAAAAGUCUACAAACAGUAAGUGCUAGAGAGGGUGUGGAGCAAAAGGAACCCUCUUACCUUGUUGGUGGGAUUGUCAAUUGGUGCAACCACUGUGGAAAGCAGUAUGGAGAUUCCUCAGAAAACUAAACAUAGAACUACCAUUUGAUCCAGCAAUCCCACUCCUGGACAUCUAUCCAGAGAAAACCAGGACUCGCAAAGACACAUGUACUCUGAUGUUCAUUGCAGCACUAUCUGUAAUAGCCAAGACAUGGAAACAACCUAAAUGUCCAUUGACAGAGGAGUGGAUCAAGAAGAUGUGGUACCACAAAAAUACAAAAAAAAAAGGGGGGGGGGAUGUGGUACCUAUACACAAUGGACUAUUACUCAGCCAUUAAAAGGAAUGAAAUACCGGCAUUUUUAGCAACAUGGAUGGACCUAGAAAUUAUCAUGCUAAGUGAAGUCAGCCAUACAAUGAAACACCAACAUCAAAUGCUUUCACUGACAUGUGGAAUCUGAAAAAAGGACAGACUGAACUUCUUUGUAGAACAAAUGCUGACUCACAGACUUUGAAAAACUUAUGGUCUCCAGAGGAGACAGUUUGGGGGGUGGGGGAUGUCCUUGGGUUAUGGGAUGGAAAUCCUGUGAACGAUCAUUAUACAACUACAGAUGUGAUAAAUUCAUUUGAGUAAUAAAAAUAAAUAGAUAAAUAAAAAUUUAAAAAAUAAAACUCUUUCACUCUCCUUCAAAUCUGAGUGAUAGCCUUGCUGGAUAGAGUGUUCUUGGUUUUGGUUUUUUCCUCUCAUCAUUUUAAAUAUAUCAUGCUGCUUCCUUCUGGUCCACCUAAUUUCUGCUGAAAAGUUAGCUGACAUUCCUCUGGGAGUCUCAUAUAUGUUACUAGUUGCUUUUCCUUUGCUGCUUUUUACUAUUGAAUUGAAAAAGUGUUUUGUAUAUUCCGGAUAAAAGUCCCUAACAUGUAUGUUAUGUGGAAAUAUUCUUACCAUUCUGUGUAUUAUCUUUUCAGUUUCUUCAUGGUAUUUUCUGAUGCAUAAAAGUUUUCCAUUUUAAUGUUCAAUUCAUCUGUUUUUUUCUAUUGGUGUUUGUACUGUGAUGUCAAACCAUUAUCAAAUCCAAGCCUACUAAGAGUUACUUAUGCAUUUUCUCCUAAGAAUUUUACACUUACAGUUCUUCCAUUAAUGUCUUUAACUCUUUUUUAAUUUUUGUGUUUGCUAUGAAGUAAGAUUGAAAUGCAUUCUUUGGGAGCUCUCUGAUGGCCUAGCUGGUUCUGGUUCCUGUGUUUUCACCAUUGUGGCUCUGGUCACUGCUGUGGCGCAGCUUCAGUCCCUGGCCUGGGAACUUCCACAUGCUGCUGGUGUGGCAAAAAGGAAAAAAGAAAAAAAGAGAGAGAGGGAACCUGAAAUAAACGUUGCAACUCAUUGUUUAAAAGAAAUGCAUUCUUUGCAUGUGACUAUCCUGUUGUGUCAAUAGUUUGUUGAAAAAACCAUUCUUUCCCCCACCCCUUGGAUUUUCUUGUCAAAAAUCAAUUGAGUAUAAAUGUGAGGAUUUAUUUCUCGAAUCUCACUUCUGUUUCAUUGAUCUUUUUCAGUCCUUAUGCAUGUACCACAUUGUCUUAAUUACUUUUGCUUUCUGGUAAAUUUUAAACUUGGGAAUUAUGAGUCCUCCAGCAGUAUUCUUCUUUUAUCAAAAUUAUGGGUUUCUUGAGUUUUGAAAGGAAACUGGAUCAACUUACCAGUUUAUGCAAAGAAGCCAGCUGUAAUUUUGAUGGAGUUUGCUUUGAAUCUGAAGAUCAUUUUGCAGAGUGUAUUAGUUUUCCAGGGCUGCCAGUCACAGAUAGGGUGACUGAAACAACAGAAACGUAUUUGGGGGCAGUUUUGGAGAAUAGAAAUUCAAGAUCAAGGUGUCACCAUGUUUCAUUUUUACUGGGGGUCUUUUCUCAUGCAUGGUUGUGUUCUAAUUUCCUCUUAAGAUAAGGACGCCAGUCAUAUUGGACUAGGGCCUUACACAUAUGACCUCAUUUACCUUAUUUACUUCUUUAGGAGCCCUAUUUUCAAAUACAGUCACAUUUUGUGGUAUUAGAGAUUAGAACUUCAACAUAAAUUUUGGGGAGCCACAAUUCAGCCAGUAAUGGAGAGUACUGCCAUCUUAAUGUAAACUAAGUUAACUAAGACUUAAUACUAAGUCUUCUGAUCCAUGAAAUGGGUUCUAUCCAUUUUUUAGUUCUUUCUUACUUUGAUUCAAUAGUGUUUUAUAGUUUUAGGGUCUGCUUUUGAGAAAACCCAAACAGAAAUACUUUCAGAUUAAAAAAAUAAACCUCCUGUAUUUUCUUCAAAUACUUUUUUCCUUUGUAUUUUAAACUAAUCUUAUUAAUUCCAACAAGUUUAGAAUUGUUAUAUCUUCUUGGUGAAUUGAACUUUUAGAUAAUCCUCUCCUUUACCUAUUAAUAGUACAUUUUUGCCUUGAAUUCAUUUGGACUGAUAUUAAUGCAGCAAGAUGUGUUACUCUCCUGGCCUUAAUAUGCAGUAAUUUGCACAAGCAGGAAGCUUACUAGAACCCCAGUGUUUAGAGUUUUAUUUGGCUUCAUUACAUAGGCAUGAUUGAUUGGUUGUACACAUGAUUGAUCUCAGUCUUCAGUCUCCAGAGGGACCAGUACCCAAAACCUCCACUCUGAAUCACACUAUUGGUUUUCUGCUGUGGACAGCCCCAACCCUAAAUCAUCCAGUGGAAGCCAAGGCCCCCUGAGCAAAGAUACUGCUAUCAGUCAUUACAUUCCAAAAGCCUAGAGAUUACCUCCUAGUAGCCAGGAUAAAGAUCAGGCAUCUCUUUUAGUAGUGUUAAUUCUUCAUUACAAGAUUAGAAAAUUUUUUAAGAUGUUCUUUUCACAUCUGUACAGAGGGAGACUUUUAAUCUGGGGCCAGAAGUUGUCUACACAUACUUAGCCUCAUCUUCUGGGACCACAUGCUUCCUGAGUACAGAAUAACUUUAUACUGUGGUUGUGUUUU